ensembl:lncRNA
AUAUUAUUUCUUCAUAGGCCAGAAGUCUGAAGCUUACAGAUCUGUCUGUGCGUUCUCCAGUUCACAAGAUCCUUAUGUGCUGCAAUCAACUUUUUCUUCUUAACCAUCUUCAAUCAAGUGAUGAAGGCCCCUUUUCAAGGAGGCACUUAUGCAGGAACAGUACCAGUAGCUUCACAUGUCUGAACAAAUCUGCACACCCUGAUGUGAGCACAAUCCUGAGUUGGACACAAGCUUAGAAUUCAGCCUGACUAGGCUUCAGUCAUAAUAAAUUCACCCACCAGCAAAUUUUAGUGUGCUAACUGCUGAAAUGGACUACACCCAUGGAAGAAGCUCCUGACAAG